AUUGAACGCUGGCGGCAUGCCUUACACAUGCAAGUCGAACGGUAACAGGUCUUCGGAUGCUGACGAGUGGCGAACGGGUGAGUAAUACAUCGGAACGUGCCUAGUAGUGGGGGAUAACUACUCGAAAGAGUGGCUAAUACCGCAUGAGAUCUACGGAUGAAAGCAGGGGAUCGCAAGACCUUGUGCUACUAGAGCGGCCGAUGGCAGAUUAGGUAGUUGGUGGGAUAAAAGCUUACCAAGCCGACGAUCUGUAGCUGGUCUGAGAGGACGAUCAGCCACACUGGGACUGAGACACGGCCCAGACUCCGACGGGAGGCAGCAGUGGGGAAUUUUGGACAAUGGGCGCAAGCCUGAUCCAGCAAUGCCGCGUGCAGGAUGAAGGCCUUCGGGUUGUAAACUGCUUUUGUACGGAACGAAAAGCCCUGGGUUAAUACCCUGGGGCCAUGACGGUACCGUAAGAAUAAGCACCGGCUAACUACGUGCCAGCAGCCGCAGUAA
rnacentral:rRNA from 1 species